rnacentral:rRNA from 1 species
CAAUAGCGUAUAUUAAAGUUGUUGCGGUAAAAAAGCUCGUAGUUGGAUUUCUGUUGAGAGCGACCGGUCCAUACCAUGUAUGCGUAUCUGGCUUGCUCUCGGCAUCCUCUCGAUAGACGUUACUGCGCUUGAUUGCGUGGUGCGGAUCUCGGGACUUUUACUUUGAGGAAAUUAGAGUGUUCACGGCAGGCUUUCGCCAGAAUACAUUAGCAUGGAAUAAUACUAUAGGAUCUUGGUUCUAUCUUGUUGGUUUCUAGAAUUGAGAUAAUGAUUAAUAGGGACAAUUGGGGGCAUUCGUAUCAACACGUCAGAGGUGGAAUUCUUGGAUUGUGUUGCGACGAACUACUGCGAAAGCAUUUGCCAAGGAUGUUUUCAUUGA